rnacentral:lncRNA from 1 species
CUCAGAAGUUUCUGAGAAUGCUUCUCUUUAGUUUUUACGUGAACAUAUACCCGUUUCGAACGAAGGCCACCCAGUGGUCCAAAUAUCCACUUGCAGAUUCUACAGAAAGAGUGUUUCGAACCUGAACUCUCAAAGGCAGGUUCAUCUCUGCGAGUUAAAUGCAUUCAUCAUGAAGAACUUUCUCAGAGUGUUUGUGUUUAGUUAUGGGAAAUUAUUCCCGUUUCCAACGAAAUCCUCAGAGAGGUCCAAAUGUCCACCUGCAGAUUCUACCAAAAGUGUAUUUGGAAACUGCUCCAUCAACAGGCAUGUUCAGCUCUGUGAGUGAAACUCCAUCAUCACAAAGAAUAUUCUGAGAAUGCUUCCGUUUGCCUUUUAUAUGAAGUUCCUUCCUAUACGACCAUAGGCCUCAAAGCAGUCCAAAUCUCCAUUUGCAGAUUCUACAAAAAGAGUGAUUCCAAUCUGCUCUAUCAAUAGGAUUGUUCAACUCCAUGAGUUGAAUGCCAUCCUCACAAAGUCGUUUCUGAGAAUGCUUCUAUCUAGUUUUUAUGU